UUUGAAGUAUAACCUGCCCACUGGAUUAUAUUGUUUUGAAGGGCCGCGGUAUUUUGACCGUGCAAAGGUAGCAUAAUCAUUAGUCUUUUAAUUGAAGACUGGAAUGAAUGGUUGGACGAGAAAUAAACUGUUUCUUAAAAAUUUCUUUUGAAUUUAAAUUUUGAGUUAGAAUGCUUAAUUUUUUUUAUGGGACGAGAAGACCCUAUAGAGUUUAAUAUUUUUUAUUAUUAUUAUUGUUUGAUUUAUAAAUUUAUUUUAAUUUUUAUUUUGUUGGGGUGAUAAGAAGAAUUAAUAAACUCUUUUUUUUAUUUAUAUAUUUAUUUAUAAUUAUUUGAUCCAUAUUUAUUGAUUAUAAGACUAAAUUACCUUAGGGAUAACAGCGUAAUCUUUUUUGAAAGUUCCUAUUGAUAAAGGGGUUUGCGACCUCGAUGUUGGAUUAAGAUUUAAUUUGGGUGUAGCAUUCAAUGUUAGGUCUGUUCGACCUUUAA
rnacentral:rRNA from 1 species